AUUGAACGCUAGCGGGAUGCUUUACACAUGCAAGUCGAACGGCAGCGCGGACUUCGGUCUGGCGGCGAGUGGCGAACGGGUGAGUAAUGUAUCGGAACGUGCCCAGUAGCGGGGGAUAACUACGCGAAAGCGUAGCUAAUACCGCAUACGCCCUACGGGGGAAAGCAGGGGAUCGUAAGACCUUGCACUAUUUGAGCGGCCGAUAUCGGAUUAGCUAGUUGGUGAGGUAACGGCUCACCAAGGCGACGAUCCGUAGCUGGUGUGAGAGGACGACCAGCCACACUGGGACUGAGACGCGGACCAGACUCCUACGGGAGGCAGCAGUGGGGAAUUUUGGACAAUGGGGGCAACCCUGAUCCAGCCAUCCCGCGUGUGCGAUGAAGGCCUUCGGGUUGUAAAGCACUUUUGGCAGGAAAGAAACGUCGCGGGCUAAUACCCCGUGGAACUGACGGUACCUGCAGAAUAAGCACCGGCUAACUACGUG
rnacentral:rRNA from 1 species